rnacentral:tRNA from 1 species
CGAAACAUAGUUUACAAAGAACAACUCACUUACAAUGAGAAGGAACUGUCCAACAGUUGAUUCGA